UACGGGGGGGGCAAGCGUUGUUCGGAGUUACUGGGCGUAAAGGGCGCGUAGGCGGCCUGCUAAGUCGGAUGUGAAAUCCCUCGGCUCAACCGAGGAACUGCAUCCGAUACUGGGGGGCUUGAAUCCGGGAGAGGGAUGUGGAAUUCCAGGUGUAGCGGUGAAAUGCGUAGAUAUCUGGAGGAACACCGGUGGCGAAGGCGGCAUCCUGGACCGGUAUUGACGCUGAGGCGCGAAAGCCAGGGGAGCGAACGGG
rnacentral:rRNA from 1 species